rnacentral:piRNA from 1 species
ACUGAGAUGAUCUCCUUAA